rnacentral:lncRNA from 1 species
ACUAAAUGCCACGAUCCUUCUCAGCUACCUUGGCAGCAUUCUGUCAGAAACCAGUCAACAAACAGAGCAGGGAAAAACAGCACCCCGAAGACAGCAUUCAGGACCCAGCCCUUUAGACAAAAGGGAUCAGAUCAGGUCUACUAGAUGGCCUCAUUCAGUCAGACACACCCAGUUAAGCAGCCCUGGAAAGGGACUCUAGAGAAUGCUAGAAGUACUGUGAAGCUCGCAGAUGGCCUUGUGGACUUUAGCACUUCAGGUGAGAAGACAACAGUCUCCCAGCAAAAUGUUGCAAGCAGCACAGGCUCAGGAAUGGACAGACUGGCAGGCAAGGUACAAUGAAGGAACUCAACGGGAGCUUGGGAGACAGUGAGUCUAAGAAGAACCUUGUCUUUCUAGAAGGCCCAAAGUACCCUACCCACCAGCCACUGGCUCUUCAGGGCUGUCACUAUGUGCAGCAGGAUGGGGAGGGGACGGGUCAAAAGAGGAAGGGAUAGGUAUUCAUGACCCAUUCGUAGACCUGGGCAGGGUCAGCAGGAGUCAUGGUGGGGCGGGAGGGUGGCAGGUAGCUAGUGAUCAGGAAACACUGAUGGGACAGCAUCUUCAAAGGGUUGGUCUGGAUCUCAAAACAUCUCCAACUCCUUCUGCAUGCUCUGCUCACACAGACCCUGGCUCCUGGGCUGGGAAGGGGCUUCAGGGAGCUGCAGGCCUGUCCUGUACCUUUUCCUUCAGACUGUGGCACUUGCUAAGGAAAAGUAUGCGCUGCAUCCCACCGUGACACCAGCAACCUCUUAGUCUCUUGUUGGAACAGAGCGUUUGAGGCGGAGUUGAUUGGGCACUCCCCUGGGGAGCCCUGGCAUUUAUACCAUCAAGAAAGUAGCGGGUAGAGAUGGAUUGGGGAUCUCUCCCAGGUACCACCCAGGGGCACG